GAGGGUGUAGCUCAGUGGUACAGCACGUGCUUAGCAUGCACAAGGUCCUGGAUUCAAUCCCCGGUAUCUCA
rnacentral:tRNA from 1 species